CAUGAGUGUAUAUUAAAGUUGUUGCAGUUAAAAAGUCCGUAGUUGGAACUCGAGUCAUUGUGUGUUUGGUCGGCCGAGACGGCAUGAACCGACACGCAUGGCUUUCUUUCAGGUAGCUCGCUGCAAUUCUUUAGUGAGUUGUGGUUCAGUUGUUUCGGCAGCUGAUGCGGAUUCCGUAGUGCUCCUGAUCGUUUACUGUCAAUAAAUCAGCGUGCUCCAAGCAGGCUUAUGCCAUGAAUAUAUCAGGAUGGGAUAAUAGAACAAGACUUUAUGCUUUGUUUUGUUGGUAACGGGCAAAAGUAAUGAUUAACAGGAAGCGGCGGGGCCGAUACUAUUGCUAAGCCAGAGGUGAAAUUCGUAGACUUUAGCAGGAGUAACUAAUGCGAAAGCAUCCGGCAAGAAGCUCUNCGUUA
rnacentral:rRNA from 1 species